GCAUAUCAAUAAGCGGAGGAAAAGAAACUAACAAGGGAUUCCCCUAGUAACUGCGAGUGAACCGGGAAAAGCUCAAAUUUUGAAUCUGGCAGUCUUUUAGAUUGUCCGAGUUGUAAUCUAGAGAAGUGUUUUCCGCGCUGGACCGUGUAUAAGUUUCCUGGAAAGGAACGUCAUAGAGGGUGAAAAUCCCGUCUUUGACACGGACUACCAGGGCUAUGUGAUGCACUCUCGACGAGUCGAGUUGUUUGGGAAUGCAGCUCAAAUAGGGUGGUAAAUUCCAUCUAAAGCUAAAUAUAGGCGAGAGACCGAUAGCGAACAAGUACCGUGAGGGAAAGAUGAAAAGAACUUUGGAAAGAGAGUUAAACAGUAUGUGAAAUUGCUGAAAGGGAAACGCUUGAUGUCAGUCGCGUUGGCUGGGGAUCAGUCUUGCUUAACUGCGAGGCGUAGUUCCUGGUUGACGGGUCAGUAUCAGUUUUGACCGUCGGAAAAGGGCUUAGGGAAUGUGGCACUCUCUUGGGGGUGUGUUAUAGCCUUGGGUCUUGAAUACAAUGGUUGGGACUGAGGAACUCAGCAUGAGAGGGAAACCUUUCUUUUUGGGGCUUCGGCUCACAUUUACAUGCUUAGGAUACUGGCAUAAUGGCAUUAAGCGACCCGUCUUGAAACACGGACCAAGGAGUCUAACAUGC
rnacentral:rRNA from 1 species